AACCCACCAAGCCACAAUGGGAACUCCUCACUUUUAAAAUAGCUUCCCUUAACUAAGAUUAAGUAAAUCAAUCAGAGGCUUUCUUUGAAAUGAUUUCUAAAUCAGUGAAGACUUUAAGCAUGCUCGAACUGUUCCUUUGAGCUAAAAAAUUUGCACGGUGCUUCUUUUAGGAAAGGGAGGGAAAGCAGAGGCCGAGAAUAGCCCUGAGUGAAUGGUGAGUACUUUGAAAUAAACCAGCUCUGUGUUUGACCUCUAGUUCUGAACAGUAUGUGUUCAAUGUCCGUGGGGGUAACGUGAAUCCACGGCGGAGAAAGCAAAUUUCAGCUCCCGGGGAUUUCUUUGUAACGGGGCCACUCAAAUGCAGUGCAGCUUGAGUCAAACCAGACCCUGCCGCGUGGUGAUGAAGGGAUUAUGAAGCCAGAUCGGGAAGAGCGAGCAAUUUUUCACCUCCCUUUUACACGUGCUGAUGCAUCAGAAAAUUGAGAAAGAAUUAAAAGAUAAUUACGAAACUCUUCCCAAGAAUGCAAGGGUCAGGGAAUCCAGGCAGCCAGAAAUGGGAGAGAUUUUAAAGGUGCAAGACAAAGUCGUCUCAUGGAAGAAAGCGGUGGAUGUGUUUAUGUGGAGAUUUAGUCCUGGGUGAGUUUCUUUUUCUCGCAAAGACAAUCACAUAUUCUAACUGCAGUGGGUUCAAUGGAAAAUGCAUGUCCAUCUAAACUCGGCUUCAUCUGCUAGGCCUGGAGGGUCCCCGGUUGCUUGAGGAAUGAGGCUGUCGCCUUCACUUGGGUUUGCCUCAUAAGCAGAGCUGGAGGUGAAAGCUUGCUGGCAGGUAGGUUGCUUAGGGAAGUGAUCUGCGCCCUGGAAGGAACGAAGGGGGAAAAGAGGAAAAGCCAGUCCUGGGAUGGAAAACUGUUGGCCACGGAGAGUGGUUUUAUUGAUUGAUUGGUUUAAUAAUGAUUUUGUAUUUUUUCUAUUAUAGUUGGUUUACAGUGUUCUCUCCGUUUUCUACUGUAUAGCAAAGUGACCCAGUCACACACAUGUAUACACAUUCUUUUUCUCACAUUACCCUGGAUAGUGGUUUUAAAACAGGACUGCGCGUUUUUGGAUGCUCCUCCCACGAGGGGUGGUUCUUGGGCCCCCAAACUUGAAUCUGAAGGCUGCCGUUGCUGUGCUACCUCAAAGGCUGGGUGGUCACAGGCCACGUGGGAACUGCUGAGUACUCUCUCCUCCUCCUUCCAUCCUGUGGCACAGCAAAGCCUUGCUUCAGAAGCUUGAGGAUGGAUUCUUUUUCUGCAACAGAGUGAGCUUGAGCCAUCAGAGUAUGCCAUGCCCUUGGCCGUGGAAACUGGAUAAAGGAUAAACCCAUGAUUCAGGGAGGCUCAGUUCUGGGACUUCUGUUGAAACUGUGGGGUAGAAGAGUCAUUUUUCUCCCAGGGAUACCAAGGGUGUGAACAGGUGCCAGGACAGAAGAGCUUGGCGGAGAAUGGGGCCCCUGGAGGACAAGGCAGAGCGGUGAAGCGAAAGGGGAUCAUUUCCUGAUACCAUCACUGAGUACUUGGAUCCAGCCAUGCCUGAAGCUGUUGCCUUCAGACUUUUAAAAGACCUGAGCUAAUAACCCCUCCUCCUGCCUGUUUUUUUUUCCUUUGUUAGUGAUUUUUAUUUGGAUUCUGUUGGUGGCGAUCAGGAUAGCCUGACUUAUUCAAAGACCAACUUAGAAAAGAUCUCAGAAAUGCUGGGAGAUGCCAACCUACUGGUCAGACACUUCAGCCACAAGACCUGGCAGAGAGCAUCCUCUCUGCUCAGCCCCAAAUGUUGCCCUUGAACAGGGAUUGAUGUAGAUUCUCAUCUUAAUGUUGUUUGCACUUCAGCAAGACUCAGUUUGGGCCCUGGUGUGCUGGACCAGCCCUGAUGCCAUGGAAAUCCAGCAGCAGCUUCCUGCAUAAAUGGAGACUUCACAGGCUGAACCAAGCCUGAAAUUCAGUGCUUUUUAUCAUUUACCAUUUUGUAUAAAACAAAGAAACACAGUAUAUGUAUUUAUUAAUGUUUGGCGUAAAAAGACAUAAAAUUAAAAUCUUAAUCUUUUGGAAACUUAUAAGUGAGUAUUAUUUUGUCUGGAUUUCAUUUUUACAGUCCAAAUAUUCUCUUCUUAUUCUUUACAGAAUCAAAAAUGAACUGUAGUUCAGCUUUUUAAUUCCUUCCUAAAUAUUGCUUUUCGUUCCCUUAUGGUUCCGUGUCUACUCAAGGCAUGAAUAUGAUGUAUUCAGGGUUUACAGUGAUGCUUCAGAUAUUAAAAAUUUUGGCAAGAUCCAGAAUCUAUAAACACGUCCUGUUCUGCAUUCUCAUACUGUUACACAUUUCCUUAAAAAACAGUGACUUUCCUUCUGUUUUAGAGUUCUGUUCAUAUCCUUUCUUAUUUGCCUCAUAGCUUGCUGCCAUGAAACAAAUUUGGAAAAAGAAUAAUUCCUAUCACCUUCCUCAAUAACCUCUAACAAAUCUGCUAUUACAUUUUGAAAUCUGUUUUCUCUCAGAGAAAUAAAACAGGCCUUGAAAAUACAUAUUGUUAUGUGCAUACCAGAGGACCAAAGCCCUCAAGCCUUCCUGUCUUUCCAUCCAGGACUGUUCAGAAGCAGAGUUAUGGGACCCAGGGUUGAAACCUUCUCGGAAGAGAAAGAUAUCAUAAGGCAGGCACUCAGAAGAGGGCAGAAGAACCACUUCCUCAUUGAAGCUGGAGCUUUGAAAGGAGCAUGUGCAGUGACUCUGCAGCAAGGAGGAUGCAGAGGUUCUUGGACACAGGCUGACUCCGGCCCCUGGAUGUUGUCUGGCUGCAUCGUGAGGACCAGUUGCCUGUGGCUGUGACGGAGGAGGCGCCACCAGGAGCAGCAUCCAUCCUCUGUGGCUCUGACCUCAGGGCUGCAGGGCUGAGGGCUCCUUGGGGCCGGUGGGCGUGGCCCCACAGGGUCAGCCCGGGUCUCACCUGCGGGGGCCAGGCAGAGCUCUCUGGGCCAGGAUCCCACUCGGGCUCCGUCCAGAAGCUGGACUCAGCCAGGAAAGCCAGGCCCACCCUCCUUGCAAACCCUGUUUACAUCCAAGUGGGAUCCUCUGAAGGCCAAGACCAACCGGCACAAAUGGUCUGUUUAUUGAGGACAAGAACAGCUGAGUCCUUCAGGCCGCCUCUUUGGAGAGAGAGGGGCUGGUAGACGGGGGGGGACGCGCUGGCUGCGCUUCCUGCGUCCCGGGCCACUGUCCACCCGGGAAAGUCCUCCAGGUCCGGGCUCUCCUUCCCAGCUGGCAGCGGGGCUGCGGGCAGCUCCUCCGUCCCAGGUCCUGGCAGGGCUGCUCCGCGACAGGUGCUGAGCACCGUGAACUGGGUCUGAGCUGCUGUCAUGCUCGCGGUUGUUAGGACCAGAGGGACACUUCUGGCACUGACUUGAGGACAUGACCAACGUCUCAAAGGGGAGGUGGGGACAAAGGCUCCGUUCAUUGCAGGACACUUGUUUGUUCAACCCCCGACACCGAGCAGCACCAACGUCUCAGAAAUUCCAACGAGCGAAACUUUUUUUGGUGCGUGGUUGGUGCCCGGUCGGCAGAGCAUCUGCACAGACCCGAGGAUCCCUGACUCUCAGCCUGAUGCUGAAUGUCCGCUUUCUCCUUUCUCAUGCCUCUUUCUCUGUCUCCCCCUUUCUGUCAAAUUGCCCUGAACACACGCCUCAUUCUAUGAAACG
rnacentral:lncRNA from 9 species